rnacentral:rRNA from 1 species
CGCCAGACUCCUACGGGAGGCAGCAGUGGGGAAUAUUGCACAAUGGGGGAAACCCUGAUGCAGCGACGCCGCGUGAAGGAUGAAGUAUUUCGGUAUGUAAACUUCUAUCAGCAGGGAAGAAAAUGACGGUACCUGACUAAGAAGCCCCAGCUAACUACGUGCCAGCAGCCGCGGUAAUACGUAGGGGGCAAGCGUUAUCCGGAUUUACUGGGUGUAAAGGGAGCGUAGACGGCAUGGCAAGUCUGGAGUGAAAGGCGGGGGCUCAACCCCCGGACUGCUCUGGAAACUGUACGGCUGGAGUGCAGGAGAGGUAAGUGGAAUUCCUAGUGUAGCGGUGAAAUGCGUAGAUAUUAGGAGGAACACCAGUGGCGAAGGCGGCUUACUGGACCGAAACUGACGUUGAGGCUCGAAAGCGUGGGGAGCAAACAGGAUUAGAUACCCCGGUAC